rnacentral:tRNA from 1 species
AUCGGCUUCGCGACGUGGUGGUUCCGGUUUCGUGAACCGGAGCAGACGGCGGACCGCACGCGGUACGAACCCGUGGAGCUGAUGC